rnacentral:rRNA from 1 species
GAUGAACGCUGGCGGCGUGCCUAAUACAUGCAAGUCGAGCGAACAGACGAGGAGCUUGCUCCUCUGACGUUAGCGGCGGACGGGUGAGUAACACGUGGAUAACCUACCUAUAAGACUGGGAUAACUUCGGGACACCGGAGCUAAUACCGGAUAAUAUAUUGAACCGCAUGGUUCAAUAGUGAAAGACGGUUUUGCUGUCACUUAUAGAUGGAUCCGCGCCUCAUUAGCUAGUUGGUAAGGUAACGGCUUACCAAGGCAACGAUGCGUAGCCGACCUGAGAGGGUGAUCGGCCACACUGGAACUGAGACACGGUCCAGACUCCUACGGGAGGCAGCAGUAGGGAAUCUUCCGCAAUGGGCGAAAGCCUGACGGAGCAACGCCGCGUGAGUGAUGAAGGUCUUCGGAUCGUAAAACUCUGUUAUUAGGGAAGAACAAAUGUGUAAGUAACUAUGCACGUCUUGACGGUACCUAAUCAGAAAGCCACGGCUAACUACGUG